rnacentral:rRNA from 1 species
CGGACGGGUGAGUAACGCGUGAGUAACCUGCCUUACACAAGGGGAUAGCCGUUGGAAACGACGAAUAAUACCCUAUGACAUAAACUCUUCGCAUGAGGAGCUUAUCAAAGAUUUAUCGGUGUAAGAUGGACUCGCGUCUGAUUAGCUAGUUGGUGAGGUAACGGCCCACCAAGGCGACGAUCAGUAGCCGGCUUGAGAGAGUGUACGGCCACAUUGGGACUGAGACACGGCCCAGACUCCUACGGGAGGCAGCAGG